UACAGGGGGGGCAAGCGUUGUUCGGAAUUACUGGGCGUAAAGGGCUUGUAGGUGGCCUACUAAGUCACACGUGAAAUCCCCAGGCUUAACCUGGGAACUGCGUGUGAUACUGGAUGGCUUGAAUCCGGGAGAGGGAUGCGGAAUUCCAGGUGUAGCGGUGAAAUGCGUAGAUAUCUGGAGGAACACCGGUGGCGAAGGCGGCAUCCUGGACCGGUAUUGACACUGAAAAGCGAAAGCCAGGGGAGCAAACGGG
rnacentral:rRNA from 1 species